UUUUGACCAAAUAUCAACUAUUAUUACAUUGUGCAGUAUACUCUUUCUUACCUGCAUUGAUCCACCUUACAACCAUAGAUGCCUUGAUAUAAAAACACUCAAAAGAUGACAGUCGGGCAUGGAUUUAAACCCAAUAGCAUACACAUAGUUACAAAAUAAAUAAUAUAUCCAAUCCCAAUAGAGCUUUUACUCAAGGAUAAAUAGAUAGCUGAACAUGAUCAUCUUCCGUAACCCAAACUCUAGUCAUGGACUCAAGAUAGUACGUUAUACUGCGACCCCAUUCCUCCCCACUACCUAUACCCCAAUAUUUCACCUCCAUUUCUGCACACCCUGAUACUUCCUAUGCCGAUCCUGGAAUGCUUGUUCAUCUACAAUAGAUUCUUAGCAUCAUCAUAUAACUGUACUUGAUUCACUUUGCUAGACAUCAUGUACUGUAGACACUUUGCCUUUAACUCCUUGCGUUUUUUCUCUACGAAUUUUUUGGGGCAUCAUGUGCACAUCCUGAUCAUGAUUAUCCAUCUAUCAUGUGCUAUAUACACACAUACACAUAUAUGUGUGUAUGUAUGAAACCAUGUAUGUAAUUAUGUAAUAGGCUAUUUUUCAAGCAUUAAAGCCAACAAGUUGCCAAACACUUUGAGUUGGAGAG
rnacentral:lncRNA from 1 species